rnacentral:rRNA from 1 species
UACGGAGGGUGCGAGCGUUGUCCGGAAUCAUUGGGCGUAAAGGGCGCGUAGGUGGCGGGACAAGCGUGCGGUGAAAGCCUGGGGCUCAACCCCGGGUCGGCCGUGAGAACUGUUUUGCUUGAGCACUGUAGAGGCAGGCGGAAUUCCGGGUGUAGCGGUGGAAUGCGUAGAGAUCCGGAAGAACACCGGUGGCGAAGGCGGCCUGCUGGGCAGUAGCUGACACUGAGGCGCGACAGCGUGGGGAGCAAACGGG